CAUAUCAAUAAGCGGAGGAAAAGAAACCAACAGGGAUUGCCCCAGUAACGGCGAGUGAAGCGGCAAAAGCUCAAAUUUGAAAUCUGGCUCCUUCGGGGUCCGAGUUGUAAUUUGUAGAGGAUGCUUCGGGUGCGGCCACGGCCUAAGUUCCUUGGAACAGGACGUCAUAGAGGGUGAGAAUCCCGUCUUGGGUCGUUGGUCCACGCCCGUGUGAAGCUCCUUCGACGAGUCGAGUUGUUUGGGAAUGCAGCUCUAAGCGGGUGGUAAAUUUCAUCUAAAGCUAAAUAUUGGCCGGAGACCGAUAGCGCACAAGUAGAGUGAUCGAAAGGUUAAAAGCACCUUGAAAAGGGAGUUAAACAGCACGUGAAAUUGUUGAAAGGGAAGCGCUUGCGGCCAGACUUGGGCGCAGGGUUCAGCGGGUGCGUGUCACCCGUGUACUCCCUGCCGCCCAGGCCAGCAUCAGUUCUAACGGCCGGUCAAAGGCCCCCGGAAUGUGUCGUCUCUCGGGACGUCUUAUAGCCGGGGGUGCAAUGCGGCCCGUCGGGACUGAGGAACGCGCUUCGGCUCGGAUGCUGGCAUAAUGGCCGUAAGCGGCCCGUCUUGAAACACGGACCAAGGAGUCUAACAUCCACGCGAGUGUUCGGGUGUCAAACCCGUGCGCGCAGUGAAAGCGAACGGAGGUGGGAGCCUUAGGGCGCACCAUCGACCGAUCCUGAAGUCUUCGGAUGGAUUUGAGUAGGAGCGUGGCCGUUGGGACCCGAAAGAUGGUGAACUAUGCCUGAAUAGGGUGAAGCCAGAGGAAACUCUGGUGGAGGCUCGCAGCGGUUCUGACGUGCAAAUCGAUCGUCAAAUUUGG
rnacentral:rRNA from 1 species